rnacentral:lncRNA from 1 species
AACGACUUCGGACGGUAUCUCGGCUCCGAUCGAUGAGACGUGCAAUGCGUACUUGGUGUGAUUGCAGAAUCCGUGAACCAUCGAGUUUUUGAACGCAGUUGCGCCCGAAGCAUUCCGGUUGAGGGCAGGUCUGCUGGGCGUCACGCUCAACGUCGCCCCCAGGCAUCCCUAUAGGGCUGUUUGUGUUGGGGCGGAGAUUGGUCUCCGUGCCCAUGGCGUGGUUGGCCUAAUAGGGUUCUCGCGAGGGACGGGUAGUGGUGGUUGAUAGAAGUCUUCGUGUGUGCGUUUACUUUCUUGAGAGUAGAUGCUCUUAAGUUACCCUGAUGUGUUGUCUUAUGCGAUGCUUCGAUCGCGACCAGGUCAGGCGGGACUCCGUGGUUAAGCUAUCAUAGCGGAGGAAAGAACUUACUAGGAUUCCUUAGUAACGGCGAGCGAACGGGACAGCCAGCUUGAAAUCGGGCGGCUUCGUCGUCGAUUGUAGUUGGGAGCGUCUCGCGGCGGACGGGCCAGUCCUGGAAGGGGCGCGGAGAGGUGAGAGCCCGUCGUGCCGGACUGUCGCCCAGAGGCGCUGUUGCGGUGGUUGUUUGGGAUGCAGCCCAUAGGGCCGGUAAUUCCGUCCAAGGUAAUAUGGCGUGAGACCGAUAGCACAGUACCGCGAGGGAAAGAUGAAAGGAUUUUGAAAGAGAGUCAAGAGUGCUUGAUUGUGGGAGGGAGCGAAUGGGGGCCGGCGAUGCGUCCCGGUGAUGUAUGGAACGGUGUAAGUCGGUCCGCCGAUCGGCUCGGGACGUGGACCGGUGCGGAUUGGUACGGCGGCCAAAGCCCAGGCUGUUGAUAUGCCUGUGGAGAUGCCGUUGUGCCGAUCGUGGUUGCAGCGCGCGCCGUCACGGCGUGCUUCGGCACCUGCGUGCUCCUGGCACCGGCCUGCG